CUACCUACGGGGGGCAGCAGUGGGGGAUAUUGCACAAUGGGGGGAACCCUGAUGCAGCGACGCCGCGUGAGCGAUGAAGUAUUUCGGUAUGUAAAGCUCUAUCAGCAGGGAAGAAAAUGACGGUACCUGACUAAGGAGCAAGCCACGGCUAACUACGUGCCAGCAGCCGCGGUAAUACGUAGGUGGCAAGCGUUGUCCGGAAUUACUGGGUGUAAAGGGAGCGCAGGCGGGAAGCCAAGUCAGCUGUGAAAACUACGGGCUUAACUUGUAGAAUGCAGUUGAAACUGGUUUUCUUGAGUGAAGUA
rnacentral:rRNA from 1 species